UAUACAUUGAAUAUAUCUAAGUUCAUUAGUAAAAUUAAAAGAUACAAAAAUAUGGCUAAAAUUCUCAAAUUUGUUUAUGCUAUAAUUUUGUUUUUGUCCUUAUUCUUUCUCUCAGUGAAGGCUAUCGUUCCAUGUGAAACUGAUGAAGAUUGUUCAAAGGCGUAUAUUAACGAGAAUAUGUUUGGUAGCCUUCUCGUGUGUCGUAAUAAAGAAUGUUGUUUGCUUGUGUUUUAUGAAUAAUAUAUCUUAUGGUAGAAUAUUUCAUAAGUUACAUUUAAGAUUUAGGUCAAAUAUGCUUUUAUUUUUAUAAAUAUUUUUAAUUUUUAUUAAAAAUGAUAUAUUUUGAUUCAUACAAAAUUUUUAUGCAUGUAAUUUUAAUCUCUACUAUUUUUUAAAAUUUAGAAAUUUUUUUAAUUAUUCUUUAAAUUUUAAAUUUUUGAAUAAAUGUUUUCAUACAUGUUUAAAAUUUCUAAGUCGAGAUUUUUAUUACUUUUAUAAUUAUCUUUUAAAAUUUAAAAAAUCUAUUUUUAAUUCUUCUCAUUUUAAACAAAUUUAAAAUUUGAUAAAUAAAUAUCUUACAGUACUUUUAAUAUAUGUGAAAAAAUUAUUCAAAUAUUUAAAAGUUAAAGGAUAAUUAAACAAUUUUUAAAAUUUUAGAAAAUAGGAAGAACUAAAAUUGUAUACAUAAAAAUAUUGUAGGGACUAUAAUAUGUCAUUUUUUAAUAGACAUUAAAAUUAAAAUUUAAAAUAUUUAUAAGGACUAAAAAUAUAUUUAACUCAAAGAUAAAUCAUCUGUGUUGCACGGGUUUGAUAAAAACAUGUAAUUCAAUUAUUUCAAAAAUAAUUAAUUUACUGAUUAAAUAUGUUAUAAAAUAUAAGAAUAUGAAAAUUUUAAAUUUUAUUUUAUUUAAUGUAAUAUUAUUUUUUAAAAACAAGUGUGGACAGUCGCGCCAAACCCACAUAAAUCCUCAACUAUGGCAUCUUUGAAAUUUCUGUCAAUUUCCAGAUUUUGUAUUUUACUUUGUAUGUUGUACUAAAUUGAACUUUAAUUGUUCCUUGCAAUACAAUAACAGUUUCACAUGCUGCCAUCAGUCCUGCAUCAAAUCCAACAGUUAGGAGAUUUUAAAGGAAGGAAAUAAAUUUAAGAAAAUUGCAUUGUGAAAAAAUAAGUGUUGGAAAUUGAAGCUGGACAGAGGGCAGGAGAGAAAAAAAAAAGAGACGAUCUGGAUCCAAUAACCUUAACAUUGUGGAGUUUUGUCUUAUAGUGCAAUAACACUACUACAAAUUAUGCUUUUAUGACAGAAGUUUACAUCUCCAAUAAUAAACGAAGGAGGAUAUAAGUCCUAGAAGCGCCAUGUAUUAUUUUUAUUUAUUUAAAAUGAAUAAUUAUUUUUCUCAGGUUUUAAGAAAAACAAGGAAAUAUAGUUAUAAGGAAGCUCGCUUCGACACCCAGUUGUUGUAUUUUAUUUUUUUCAAUUGUUUAGUUAGUAUUUCUCACUUGACGUCUUUUUGAAUUUCAUUUAUAUCUUUGUUAAUUUUUUUAUUAGUAUUUACAUCGGCUACAUAGUCCAACUGAGAGGUAAUAUAUUUUGCAUUAAUAAUUUCAAAUUUUUAUUUUCAAAAUCUUAUUUUAAUUUUUUAUUUGAUAUAUUCAAAUCCCUCAGUUUUUAUCCAAAAUCGACGUGAUAUAUUUUUAAGUUAAUUCCCAGAAUAUGGCGCUAUUGUGUUUUUUAUAUUUUGUAUUAUUAAUUAAUAUUGUCACAUCAAAUUUUAAGUAAAACCGACUUGACACUUAUUUUGCAUGAAAUACUUUAGACUACAAUCUAGUUUCUAACUUUUUAUUUACCUAUCAACACUCAAACGUCAUUUCUUCACUCUCACUUCGCCAAAAAUCCUAGGCAAUUUUCAAGCCGAAAUUCAUCAAAAAUCUUCCAAGAGAUAUUCACCCAACAUCAUUUCAUCAACAUAUAUUCAUUUUCGCAAAAGGUUUGUUCUUCAUUGAAACAAUUUAUAUACCACUCUGUUUUUCACUGAAAUAGCUUACUGAUCAUUUUAUUUAGGGUUUCUACGUUAUUUUUUCUAUUGAUCAUUCUGUUUCUACUAUUUUCCAUUUGUUUUUACUCAAAUGUUAUUGUUUGAUCCAGGUUAGUCUCUUGAUAGUCAUGGUCGAUUCUACAAGCACCUCUCAUAUAACAUUUGUUGCAACCACUAUUAAUACAAAUGUAAAAGAAAAACUAGAGGUGUCACGGUGUAUACUAAGGUGAAAAAAGACCACAAAAGUGGUGUUCGCUGCUCGGUUAGAGUUGAUAUAGAAACCGACAGAACUUAUGGUGAACAUGUUGAGGAUUUUAUGAGUUACAUUGUGUUACAAGGUAGAAGUAAAGUGACUAUUUUGUUAGAUAAUUGGCACGACGUUGAUGAUGACAUAAAGGACGCCAUAUGGAAAGAUAUUACGGAUAUGUUCAUUGUAAGUGCAAAUGAUACGAACGUGGAAAAGAAAUUGCUUACAUAUUAUGGUGAAUGAUAGAGGGGAUUUAAGACACAGCUCACCCAUGAUUAUAUUAAACAUGCAGAAGAUAAAUAAGUGCCUACAUACGAGGUGUAUUCAUUUAUUAAUCAAGAUGUUUAGGAUAAAUUUGUAAAGUCUCGCACCACUACUAGCUUCUUGGCAAAGAGCCAAAAAGGAAAGGAAAAUCAGCUAGAAAUAUUUGUCCACAUAGGUUGUCUCAUGGAGGAAAUCAAAGACUUGAAUAUACGAUGAUUGGAAAAAAAACAAAGGGAGGAAGAUCUGGGAGGUUCUAUAACUCUUGAUUUCAUUUCAUCUCCAUUAUCAUGCCACAAGAAAUGGAAGAGAGCAUGUCAAAGAAAAGACGGCGAGUUCACAUUAUAUGCUACGCGCCAUGUGGUUCAAAAGAUUGAUGAUCUGGUUGAACAAAUCAAAGUCGACUUCUUUACUUAAAAAUAUAGUCAUGACAUCAUGGUAGAAGCGAUUAGUAUCGAGGAGCAUCAUGGGCGUGUAUGUAAUUUUUGAAGAGGCGUUCGCUUCAAGGUUUUUUUGGACCAUUUAAAUAAUCUAGAGAGAAAAACCAUAAGAGAGAGAUUGAAGAGAUUAUUGUUGUAGAGUUGGGGAAGGAAAAGGAGAGGUGGGAGGAUGACCAGGAUAGAAAGUUAAAGGAGGAGAGCGAGAAGAUCUUGGAGGAUGAGAGGGAGAGGAUGUUUCAAACGUUCCGAGAGAGUGUAUAGAAAGAGCAAAAGGAGCGGGAGAGGAUGGGUGAGAAUGAGCUUGAGAAGGUGUCCGAGAAGUGUACCUACGAUGUGCUUGAGGUAUAAGUUGUAUGUUUUUUAUUACUGUUUUUUAUUUUAAUUUUAUAUUAUAUUUUUGUUGUUUUUAUGAUGCAUAAAUUUAAUUCUAUGGGUGUAUGCAGUCACACAAAUUAAAAUCAGUUGGAAAUGAACGUGAAUGUAGUUAAGAAAGUUACGUGUGGUACAAGCGCGAAAGAAAGUUUUUCUACCAACCAAGGAAAUAUUGAGCUCACACCACCAAAAAAAGAUAGUAUUAAGAGACUAGAAAUAAUGACUAAGAGUAUAAAAAACUAGGACGACAAUUCCAUAUAUACAUGACUAGAAAUUUAUAUUCAUAUGUUCUUGUACUUUAACAUAAAGAUUUGCUCUUGCAGGUACAUCCAUGAGUUUUAUGUUGAAAGGAAUUACUUGUGCUUUUUAACAUCAUAUUAUUUGUGUGUAUUAGUGUGAUAUAAAUAUAUGUAAAUAAUUUGAAGUGGCGACAACAACUCGACAACCAUUCUUGUAGACACCAUGCUAUGAAAUAUAUUCUUUAUAUUGUCUCUGAAGGCAAUACAAAUGGAUGGAUGAAGCAUAAGGUAUUAACUCAAUUCACAUAUACGCAUAUUUAUAUUUCUUAAGUUCGUGUUGUUGUAGUUAGCUUAUCAUAAUUCAAAUUUUCUUCUAAUUAUAUGAGUUUAACAACAAAAUACCAUACUUAAAAGAAGAUAUGGAUGACAUAUGAUCCUGUUGGUCCAGUGUCUUCUUAUCUUGUUAUGAAUCUCGACAACAAUAGUUUUUCUUAGUUGUUAUAAUCGUAAUUUGUAUAUAUGUAAAGAUAUUUUGUCAUUUUUAUGUGCAAAUAUGUAAAUGUGUGUAUUUUGUCUUGAGGACGACAAUGUAAAUUUGUACAUUUGGUUUAAAAUUAUAUGAUAUAUUCCAA